rnacentral:lncRNA from 1 species
GGGGUGGGGUUUAGGAUUUAGGGUUUAGGGUUUAGGAUUUAGGGUUUAUGGGUGGGGUUUAGGGUUUAGAGUUAAGGGGUGGGGUUUAGGGUUUAGAGUUAAGGGGUGGGGUUUAGAGUUAAGGGGUGGGGUUUAGAGUUUAGGAUUUAGGGUUUAGGGUUUAGAGUUUAGAUUUUAGGGUUUAGAGUUGGGGAGUGGGAUUUUGGGAUAAGAUUUCAGAUUUUGAAAAAUAAAAAAAAUUUAAAUUUUUUAAAAGAUAAAAUGCUAUUUUGGUCAUUUUAGUUUUUGAGGGCUAUUUUGUGACAUAAACUUAGAAAUGUGCUAU